GUGAUCUGAUUGUGUUGAUUGAUUUACUGUUUGAUGAUCGAAUGCAGACAGACAGACAGACAGAAAGCAGUUCUGUAAGUUUAUCUGACAGCUGGUGAAAAGUGGUUUUCUGGAUGGAUGGAUUAUGUAACAUGUAACUUGCAUGUCUUGAGACUGUGGAAGGAAACCGGAGCACCUGUUGAAAACCAAGGCAGACACGUGUGAGGCAUGCAAACUCCUGAAGGUCUAAAUCCUGGAUCGCUUUUCUUUGCCUACAUCCAAGACACUAAGAUUAAUUCAGUGACUCCUUCCUCUCCUCCUGUGUUGUUGAAGUGACAGCCAGACUCUGCAAAAAGUUUCAGAAAGUCUCCUUAAAAACACAACUGAUCACUAACGGAGACACGUUUCUUAACGAAUGCAAACUUUUCACAGCAGUUUCCUCAAAGAGAAGCAACUCAAGGACGAAGAGCAGAGCCGGCUCACAGCUUUGCUUCUGCUUUCUGUGACAGUAGCGCCUCUUCAAAAUAAGACUUUCAAGGAAGAGGAAAUAAGAAAUUCAGGACAUAAGAAAGCUUCAAGUGAAGACGGGAGACGACAUUUACAGGCCGAGAACAGUUCAUGUUUGUGAAGCAGCGAGAGGAAGUGUCUGGAGACGUCGUAAAAACUCAUUAAAACUUAACAGAGAGCAGAGGAGUAAUUAAAUUUAGUUUUUGUGCUGAGGCAGA